AAAGUCGUAACAAGGUUUCCGUAGGUGAACCUGCGGAAGGAUCAUUAUCGAAUAAACUAGGUGGGUUGUUGCUGUCCCUCUCGGGGGAAUUGUGCACACCUUACCUUUUUUGUUUUUCCACCUGUGCACACACUGUAGGUCUGGAGGGGAAGGGAGGUUAAACUCCCUAACGUUUCAGGUCCUAUGUUUUUACACAUACACUAUUAAAAGUAACAGAACGUUUCAAUGGGCUCUAAGCCUAUAAACUAUAUACAACUUUCAGCAACGGAUCUCUUGGCUCAC
rnacentral:misc_RNA from 1 species